UCAAUGUAAAUAUGGAGUCACCCAUGUCUUCACAUAAAUGGCUUAUACAAUGACUCUUUACUUAUCAAUAUUUCCAACAUUUCCAUUUCACAAUUUCAACCAUAUUCUAAUUUUACAUGUACUAUGUUUAUGGAAUGUACUGAUCUUUUCCUCCAUGGCUGCUUCUAAAACCAUUUUCACUAGGUUAACCAUAGGCAUUGUCUUUCAUAUUUUCUUAAAAGGGAAAUGUCACUCUCUAACAGUGAAAAAGAACAGCGAACAUUUAGAAAAUCCCAG